rnacentral:rRNA from 1 species
UAGGGAAUCUUCGGCAAUGGACGAAAGUCGGACCGAGCAACGCCGCGUGAGUGAAGAAGGUUUUCGGAUCGUAAAACUCUGUUGGUAGAGAAGAACGUUGGUGAGAGUGGAAAGCUCAUCAAGUGACGGUAACUACCCAGAAAGGGACGGCUAACUACGUGCCAC